UCUCUUAGAUAUUUCAGUUAGCGUUUUCUUUUCUGUAGCUUUCUUUAGAAUUCGAAUCACAUGUGAUCCUUUCGACGUGAUGCCUUUCAGUCCCGACAGUGUUAUCAUUCAUUGACGGAAAGCCACCUGUACUAGACUAUGAAUAAUCCACCUAGUAACAUGGACACAACCAGCGCCAACCGCCAACCGGUUUGCACACGUCACGGAGAACCAAUAAGUGACUGAAGUGAAAAGUUACGUAGUAUGAACAAAGGCCCUGGUAAUUAAACCGCCCUAUCAUUAGUGCACAUUAGUGACAGAUAUAUAUCCCGAUUGAUUCUAGUAGAUUCCCCGAAUGGUUUUCCUUGCCAUAGUCUCGCCGUGGCCCAUAAUUUGACCAAACUUCCUAAAGACUGAAAAACCGGUGUGCAAAUAAUGGCAAGGAAAUGGGCUAGGAAUUCAAAUGACUAUUUCAUUACCCAAAUUCGCAAAGAGGCCCAUUUUACCUAUUGUAACUUUGCAAUGUGAUGGCAAGUUUAUAAUAGAUACGCAAUUGCG